GAUGAACGCUGGCGGCGUGCCUAAUACAUGCAAGUCGAGCGAAUGGAUUAAGAGCUUGCUCUUAUGGAGUUAGCGGCGGACGGGUGAGUAACACGUGGGUAACCUGCCCAUAAGACUGGGAUAACUCCGGGAAACCGGGGCUAAUACCGGAUAACAUUUUGAACCGCAUGGUUCGAAAUUGAAAGGCGGCUUAGUCUGUCACUUAUGGAUGGACCCGGGUCGCAUUAGGUAGUUGGUGAGGUAACGGCUCACCAACGCAACGAAGCGUAGCCGACCUGAGAGGGUGAUCGGCCACACUGGGACUGAGACACGGCCCAGACUCCUACGGGAGGCAGCAGUAGGGAAUCUUCCGAAAUGGACGAAAGUCUGACGGAGCAACGCCGCGUGAGUGAUGAAGGCUUUCGGGUCGUAAAACUCUGUUGUUAGGGAAGAACAAGUGCUAGUUGAAUAAGCUGGCACCUUGACGGUACCUAACCAGAAAGCCACGGCUAACUACGUGCCAGCCGCCGCAGUAA
rnacentral:rRNA from 1 species